AAGGCAGCAGGCGCGCAACUUACCCUAAUCUCGAUUCGAGGAGGUAGUGACAGAAAUACCGAUGCGGGACCCUACGGGUGCCGCGUUCGGAAUGAGUACGAUUCGAACCACCUAACGAGGAACGAUCGGAGGGCAAGUCUGGUGCCAGCAGCCGCGGUAAUUCCAGCUCCAAUAGCGUACGUUAAAAGUUGCUGCAGUUAAAAAGCUCGUAGUUGAACGUUCGGGUUCCGCGGGACGGGGCCGCCCCGCGAGGGACGGCGCCGCCCCCGGGGCUCGUGAUAUCUCAUCUCGCCGCCCGUCGCGAGGCGGACGGAGGGGAUGGAUGAGGUUACCUGGAAAAAAUCGGGGCGAUCUAGGCGGGCGAACCUCGCCAACGAACGAUCGGACAUGGGGAUAACGGAAGAGGGCGUCGGCUCGACUUCGUCGGUUCCUCGGGCCGAGGCACGUACGGUG
rnacentral:rRNA from 1 species